rnacentral:sRNA from 1 species
GGCAGGCUAAGGUUUGGCCGGGUGUCAGCGGUGAUUACGUUUGAGCAGCAAACUUUUUUACUUUUUAUCGCCUUUAUGUGAUCUCGACUAUGGACAAAACUCCAUCUAAUUGCUGUACUGUAUAUGACACAGAGUUUGUGUCAUACAUUCACGUUAAAGGUAAGUUUGAUGUCAAAGAUUAAAGGUAGCGUUAAGUGGUUUAAUGAAUCUAAAGGUUUCGGUUUCAUUACUCCUGAAGAUGGUAGCAAAGAUGUUUUCGUUCACUUCUCUGCCAUCACCAGCAAUGGUUUUAAAACUCUGGCUGAAGGUCAGCGCGUAGAGUUUGAAAUCACCAAUGGUGCCAAAGGGCCAUCUGCUGCAAACGUUACUGCUAUCUAAGCUACAGUAGCUUAAAUUCUGAAACCCGCUCUAUGAGCGGGUUUUUUU